AUGGCCAAGGAGAUCCAGGGUGAAGCAGGCUGCACUUUGAUGAACUGGACAAGCUGCAUGUGUGGGACCCUGAGGUUACCUAGCAGACCACAGAGCUCAAGGAAGAGUACAAGGACUCUGUGGACAAAAUUAGCCAGUUUCAGAAAAUAGUCGGUGGUUUACUUGAGCUUGUUGACCAAUUUGCAAAAGAAGCAAAAAAUGAGAAGAUGAAGGCCAUUGGUGCUCGGAACUUGUUCAAAUCUAUAGCAAAACUGAGAGAAGCCCAACAGCAGCCACUGCAAGCACUGACAGCAGAACAGAAAAUGCAGCUUGGAAGGUAUCGGGUUGAAGAGGAAGCUUUGUGUAAAAUAGAAGCAGAACAAAAUGAAUUUAUUGACCAAUUUAUUUUUCAGAAAUGAACUGAAAAUUUCAUUUUAUAGCUGGAGGGCCAAAAAACAAAACCAAACCCCAAAACCCUCUGUUCCGUCCCAGUGACUUGACUAGUGACCCACGUAGGUCCUGAGAGAUGGUGGGUAAGGGACACAGCAUCUCUAAAGGCAGAAAACUAAUCUGAGGGAGCUUGUUGUAGAAAUCUGUGCACAUCUGCUGGUAAACACCCAGUGGCCAUGGUGGUCCAGGCUCUCACCUCUCGGCAUUCUUAGCCUGAACUGAGCAGUCUGAAAACUCUAAUCCUUUUUUUUUUUUCUUUGUAAAUUCACAAAGCUUUGGAAAGAAAGAGCAAUAAAUUACUGUUU